rnacentral:rRNA from 1 species
GAUCUCCCGCUUGCGGGGGUGAUUAGUGGCGAACGGGUGAGUAAUACGUGAGUAACCUGCCCUUGACUCUGGGAUAAGCCUGGGAAACCGGGUCUAAUACUGGAUACUACUUCCUGCCGCAUGGUGGGGGGUGGAAAGGGUUUUACUGGUUUUGGAUGGGCUCACGGCCUAUCAGCUUGUUGGUGGGGUAAUGGCUCACCAAGGCGACGACGGGUAGCCGGCCUGAGAGGGUGACCGGCCACACUGGGACUGAGACACGGCCCAGACUCCUACGGGAGGCAGCAGUGGGGAAUAUUGCACAAUGGGCGGAAGCCUGAUGCAGCGACGCCGCGUGAGGGAUGACGGCCUUCGGGUUGUAAACCUCUUUCAGCAGGGAAGAAGCCACAAGUGACGGUACCUGCAGAAGAAGCGCCGGCUAACUACGUGCCAGCAGCCGCGGUAAUACGUAGGGCGCAAGCGUUGUCCGGAAUUAUUGGGCGUAAAGAGCUCGUAGGCGGUUUGUCGCGUCUGCUGUGAAAGCCCGGGGCUCAACCCCGGGUCUGCAGUGGGUACGGGCAGACUAGAGUGCAGUAGGGGAGACUGGAAUUCCUGGUGUAGCGGUGAAAUGCGCAGAUAUCAGGAGGAACACCGAUGGCGAAGGCAGGUCUCUGGGCUGUUACUGACGCUGAGGAGCGAAAGCAUGGGGAGCGAACAGGAUUAGAUACCCUGGUAGUCCAUGCCGUAAACGUUGGGCACUAGGUGU